CCAUAUCAUGUGAAACACCAGUUCUCAUCCAAUUACCAAAGUUAAGCAAUGUUGAGCCUGUUCAAUGCCUAGAUAGGUGAGCACUUGGGAAUACCAGGUGCUGUAAG